rnacentral:rRNA from 1 species
CCCUUAGAUGUUCUGGGCUGCACGCGCGCUACACUGAUGCAUCCAGCGAGUUGUAACCUUGCUUGGUAAAGUUUGGUAAUCUGAGCCUAAUGUGCAUCGUGAUGGGGAUAGAUUAUUGCAACUAUUAAUCUUCAACGAGGAAUACCUAGUAGGCGUGUGUCAUCAGCGCGCGUCGAUUACGUCCCUGCCCUUUGUACACACCGCCCGUCGCUCCUACCGAUUGAAUGAUCCGGUGAGGCCCCCGGAUUGUGGCAAUGGCUCUGGUUCGCCAGACCAAUGCUGCGAGAAGCUGUCCAAACCUUAUCAUUUAGAGGAAGGAGAANUCGUAACA